GAUGAACGCUGGCGGCGUGCCUAAUACAUGCAAGUCGAGCGAAUGGAUUAAGAGCUUGCUCUUAUGAAGUUAGCGGCGGACGGGUGAGUAACACGUGGGUAACCUGCCCAUAAGACUGGGAUAACUCCGGGAAACCGGGGCUAAUGCCGGAUAACAUUUUGAACCGCAUGGUUCGAAAUUGAAAGGCGGCUUCGGCUGUCACUUAUGGAUGGACCCGCGUCGCAUUAGCUAGUUGGUGAGGUAACGGCUCACCAAGGCAACGAUGCGUAGCCGAGCUGAGAGGGUGAUCGGCCACACUGGGACUGAGACACGGCCCAGACUCCUACGGGAGGCAGCAGUAGGGAAUCUUCCGCAGUGGACGAAAGUCUGACGGAGCAACGCCGCGUGAGUGAUGAAGGCUUUCGGGUCGUAAAACUCUGUUGUUAGGGAAGAACAAGUGCUAGUUGAAUAAGCUGGCACCUUGACGGUACCUAACCAGAAAGCCACGGCUAACUACGUGCCAGCCGCCGCGGUAA
rnacentral:rRNA from 1 species